UUCAUACUCCCUCCGUUCCGAAUUACUUGUCACAGAUAUGGAUGUAUCUAAACGUAUUUUAGUUAUAGAUACAUCUAUUUCUGCGCGAGUAAUUUGGAACGGAGAGAGUACAAU
rfam:Triticum urartu cultivar G1812 contig206315, whole genome shotgun sequence.